UCCGACAGCAACAUUUUAUCAUCUAUUAUUAGCAAUUUUAUCAAUCCUUCAUUCAAUCAUGGUUGAUCCUGCUCAAAAACUGAGGAUUGGCCAGCUGCUGCAGGGAGUGAUUGAGUUGCAGCAGAUAUUGGAUUUUUCUGAGCGCUCGGC